GGUUGAAACUCAAAGGAAUUAACGGGGGCCCGCACAAGCGGUGGAGCAUGGGGUUUAAUUCGAAGCAACGCGAAGAACCUUACCAGGUCUUGACAUCCUUUGACCACUCUAGAGAUAGAGCUUCCCCUUCGGGGGCAAAGUGACAGGUGGUGCAUGGUUGUCGUCAGCUCGUGUCGUGAGAUGUUGGGUUAAGUCCCGCAACGAGCGCAACCCUUAUUGUUAGUUGCCAUCAUUCAGUUGGGCACUCUAGCAAGACUGCCGGUGACAAACCGGAGGAAGGUGGGGAUGACGUCAAAUCAUCAUGCCCCUUAUGACCUGGGCUACACACGUGCUACAAUGGGAAGUACAACGAGUCGCGAAGUCGCGAGGCUAAGCUAAUCUCUUAAAGCUUCUCUCAGUUCGGAUUGCAGGCUGCAACUCGCCUGCAUGAAGCCGGAAUCGCUAGUAAUCGCGGAUCAGCACGCCGCGGUGAAUACGUUCCCGGGCCUUGUACACACCGCCCGUCACACCACGAGAGUUUGUAACACCCGAAGUCGGUGAGGUAACCUUUUNGGAGCCAGCCGCCUAAGGUGGGAUAGAUGAUUGGGGUGAAGUCGUAACAAGGUAGCCGUAUCGGAAGGUGCGGCUGGAUCACCUCCUUUCUAAGGAA
rnacentral:rRNA from 1 species